rnacentral:rRNA from 1 species
UACGUAGGCAGCGAGCGUUGUUCGGAGUUACUGGGCGUAAAGCGUGCGUAGGCGGUGGUCCAAGUCUGGUGUGAAAUCUCCCGGCUCAACUGGGAGGGUGCGCCGGAAACUGGGCCGCUGGAGUACGGGAGAGGCAAGCGGAAUUCCAGGUGUAGCGGUGAAAUGCGUAGAUAUCUGGAGGAACACCCGUGGUGCAGACGGCUUGCUGGACCGUGACUGACGCUGAGGCACGAAAGCGUGGGUAGCAAACAGG